GCCGGGUGCGGUGGCUCUCGACUGUAAUCCCAACACUUUGGGAGGCCGAGGCUGGUGGAUCACCUGAUGUCAGGAGUUCGAGACCAGCCUGGCCAACAUGGCAAAACCCCGUCUCUA
rnacentral:SRP_RNA from 1 species